CAAAAAUAAGGUGGUGAGCCACCCCGGAACACCACUCUGAAAAAGCCAGUCUUGCUGAGAGAUGUCGUGUUGAAAUAUAUUCCUUUUAUUAUUUAUAAAAACUCUUGGGUUUUUUUCGUUCAGGGUACAGUGAGCCUUUUAGCUGAACCAUACCACUAUUCAAUGCCUAGAAACAGAAUGGAGGGGUAGGCUAAUUACCAUGGUUCUUACAUCACCAAUGGAAAUUCUUCAUUUGCCCUCAGGAUCCAGAUUGCCGUAUCUGCUCAAUGCUUUUAAAUAUGACAAGUUUGAGUUUGUUAAGGAAUAGCGCUGUGAAAUUUGUUUCCGGGAUUAAUAACACAAGCCUGACCAAAGGUUUUAUGAUAAAAUGGGAUAGAGUGACAGAAACCAAACCAAAGCUACAGCGCAGAACCCGCAGCCCAGCAUGA
rnacentral:lncRNA from 1 species